rnacentral:rRNA from 1 species
UUGAUCCUGGCUCAGAAGCGAACGCUGGCGGCAGGCUUAACACAUGCAAGUCGAGCGGGGCGUAGCAAUACGUCAGCGGCAGACGGGUGAGUAACGCGUGGGAACGUACCUUUUGGUUCGGAACAACACAGGGAAACUUGUGCUAAUACCGGAUAAGCCCUUACGGGGAAAGAUUUAUCGCCGAAAGAUCGGCCCGCGUCUGAUUAGCUAGUUGGUGAGGUAAUGGCUCACCAAGGCGACGAUCAGUAGCUGGUCUGAGAGGAUGAUCAGCCACAUUGGGACUGAGACACGGCCCAAACUCCUACGGGAGGCAGCAGUGGGGAAUAUUGGACAAUGGGGGCAACCCUGAUCCAGCCAUGCCGCGUGAGUGAUGAAGGCCCUAGGGUUGUAAAGCUCUUUUGUGCGGGAAGAUAAUGACGGUACCGCAAGAAUAAGCC